GGAUUAUAGAUGUGAGCCACCCCGCCCAGCCCUUGUUCCCCCUUUUCUAACUGGAUUGUUUGCUUUUGUGUUUUCAUUUUACUGUUACAUUUUGAGAAUUCCUUAUGUACUGCAGAUACUAGUUCUUUGUCAGAUGUAUGGCUUCCAAAUAUUUUCUCCUGGUCUGUAAUUCAUCUUUUCAUCCUCUUAACAGGGUUUUUCACAUAACCAAAGCAUUUAAUUUUGAUGAUCUCCAGUUGGUCAAUUUCUCCUUUUAAGGAUUAUACUUUUGGUUCUAGAUCCUAAGUAUACCCCCCUAAGCUUUCCCCCCACCAAAUUUCAUAGUUUUACAUUGAAGUCUAUGAUCUAUUUUGAGCUAAUUUUUGUAUAAGGUAUGAGAAUUAGACCGUGAUUUAUGUUUUACCUCUGGAAAUCCCAUUGCUGUAGCACCGUUUGUUGGAAAGGCUCUUUCUUCCACUGGGUUUCUUCUCCACCGUUGUCAAAACUCUGGGCACAGUUGUAUGGGUCUGUUGUGGAGGUUCUCUAUUUGGUUCAUUUAUCUACAUACCUGUUCCUAUGUCAGUACCACGAGGUCUUAAUUACCAUAACUAUGUUAUGUCUUCAAAUCAAGCAUACUCAUUCUUCCCUCUUUGUUCUUCUUUUUCAAAAUCAUGUUAGCUUCUAGUUUUUUGGCCUCUUUAUGCCAAUUUUACAUUUAUCUUGUCUGCAUAUAUAGAAACAAAUUUGCUGGAGUUUACAUAGGAGUUGUGUUAAACCUAUACUUUGGGAAGAAUCAAUGCCUUUACUGUGUUGAGUCUUACAGUCAACAAAGAUGGUAUUGUCAACAUUUGUUUCUAUUUCUUUCAUCAGUGUUGGGUAGUUCUCAGCACACAAGCUCAGUACAUGUUUUGUUUGACUUACAUUUAAGAUUACAUUUUAAGAAGUCAUCACAGUAUUAUAUUUUUAAUUUUGGUGUUUAUGUAUUCAUGGCUGCAUAUAGAAACACCAUUGAUUUUUGUAUAUUUAUCUUGUCUCCUGUGACCUUGCUGAACACACAUAUUCUAGACAGUGUUUUUAAAGUCCUUGAAAUUUUCCAUAUAGACAAUCAUGUCAUGUUCAGAUAGGACAGUUUGAUUUCUUCCUUUUUGAAGAUAUGCCUUUUAUUUUACCCCCCCCCAACAUGCUGCCCCACUGCAUAUUGCACCAGCUAGAGCUUCCACCGUUUGAUAAGAGUGGCAAGACUGGACAUCUCUGCCUUGUCCCCAGUCUUAGGGGGAAAGCAUUUAGUUUUUCACUAUCAGGUGUAAUGUCAGUUGUAGGAUGUUUGUAGAUGCUCAAUAAAACUAUCUGGGCCUAGAGAUUUCUUUGGGAGACUUUUAAAAUUAUGAAUUCAGUGUCCUUAAUACUUACACAACUAUUGAAAUUAUCUAUUUCACAUUGAGAUGUGAUAGUGUGAUUUCAGGGCAGUGUGGAGGGUUGUUAUCUAUUUCACAGUGAGAUGUGGUAGUGCGUUUUCAGGGCAGUGCGGAGGGUUGUUAUCUGUUUCACAGUGAGAUGUGGUAGUGCGUUUUCAGGGCAGUGUGGAGGGUUAUUACCUGUUUCACAGUGAGAUGUGGUAGUGUGUUUUCAGAGCAGUGUGGAGGGUUGUUAUCUAUUUCACAGUGAGAUGUAGUAAUGUGUUUUCAGGGCAGUGUGGAGGGUUGUUAUCUGUUUCACAGUGAGAUGUGGUAGUGCGUUUUCAGGGCAGUGUGGAGGGUUGUUAUCUAUUUCACAGUGAGAUGUGGUAGUGCGUUUUCAGGGCAGUGUGGAGGGUUGUUAUCUAUUUCACAGUGAGAUGUAGCAAUGUGUUUUCAGGGCAGUGUGGAGGGUUGUUAUCUGUCUCACAGUGAGAUGUGGUAGUGCGUUUUCAGGGCAGUUUGGAGGGUUAUUACCUGUUUCACAGUGAGAUGUGGUAGUGCGUUUUCAGGGCAGUUUGGAAGGUUGUUUUUAUCUUUUUGAUGUUUGCAGGGUCUGUAGUGGUAUUCCCUUUUGCUUUCUGAUAUUGGCAAUUGCAUCUUCUUUCUCUCUUUUAUUUUUUUUUUUUUUUUUUGGUCUGUCUAGAUUGAAAUGUGUCACUCCUUUUCUUUCCAAAGAACCAAUUCUUCGUUUCAUUAGUUUUCUCUAUUGUUUUCUGUUCUCAAUUUAAUUGAUUUCUGGUCUUACCUUUAUUAUUUCUAUGGAUUGCUUUCGUGGGAGCUUACAUUCUUUAUUUGAGAUGAUUGUUCUUAUCUAACAUACAUAUUUAAUGAGAACAUUAUAAAUUUCCCUCUCAUCACUGAUUUAGCUGUGUUCCACAAAUUUUGAUGUACUGUAUUUUCUUUUUCAUCUAGUUCAAUUUUUUUUCAAUUUGUCUUGGAGCUUCCUCUUUGAUCCAUGAAUUAUUUAGAUGUUUGUUGUUUGACUUCCAAGUGUUCAGAGAUUUUCCUGUUGUCUUUCCAUUCUUGAUUUCAAGUUUGAUUCAUUGUGAUCAGAGAGCGUAGUCUAUAUGAUUUCAGUUCUUAUUCAUGUGUUGAGAUUUGUUUUAUGGCCCAAGAAGAUGGUCUUUCUUGGUGUAUCUCCCUCAGUGAAAAGAAUGUGUAUUCUGCUAUUGUCAGGUGACAUUCUGUGAAUAUCAGUUACAUCCUGUUGGCUGAUGGCAUUGAGUUCUUCUAGAUCCUGGCUGACUUCUGAGAGUGCUGUGUUAACCAUACUCAGCGGCUAUGGGUAACAUGGAGGGAAGUCUCACACAUCAGCUGUGACAGGUGCAGGGGGCUCAAGGAUGGACAAGAAUCCUGCCUUUCUGGCCUUCAACCCCAGGCCAUCUGAACGACAGCCCCCCUUGGCACUGGGACGUCUGCAUACACACCCGGCUCUCAGGAUCACAUCCUAACAAAAAUUAAAAGCAUUUGUGUUUAAAGGAA